GAGAUAUACUGUAUGAUGUACUACCUGCUUAAUUACCUGCUGCCAUCAAAGGCACAUGGUUACAAGUUUUAAGACUCCUUGGGAUGCGUUGUUUUAUUUGUUUAGCAGCCUGCUGCGCUGCUGAUGAUAUCAUUGUUAACUAGUACAGUAGUAUAUAGACGUAUAGUAGGUUUGUUAUCUUAGUUCGAGCCAAAGUUCUUCAUCGGAUCGGAGUUUUUUUUUCAAAAAAAAAAAGAUCGAUUGAUUCCUUGUUAUUUUGCAUCC
rnacentral:lncRNA from 1 species